rnacentral:misc_RNA from 1 species
AUUUUGUUUUCGUUCAUAUUAUCUGGUUACUUAUUGAUUUCUGCUCUUGCUAUGAUUUUGCAUCAUGCAACUCUUUUCAGUUUGUCUUGUUAAGUGUUUUUUUUUGGUUAUGCAAGUUAAAAAUAAUAGCUUUUUGUCAAUGCAGUUUUAAAAAAUAAUUGUUAUUUAUGAUAAAUUUUGAAUGAAUUGUUCAACUUUAAUUUAUAUCUGCUAAUUUAAUUUGCUUGUUGAAUCGAUGUGGGUUCUUUUGAAUAAUUGAUAACCAUUUCUUUGUUUUCUGUAUCCCCUGAUUUGUCUUCCUGAUGAUCAAGAAAGUUUUGGUGCAAUUUUAAUUAAAUUUCGGUUAAAGUGGAAUUUGGUAGUUCCAUGGAGAACCUCUUGUCUGCAGUAGCAGCGAGAUUUUUCUUUUUUCAAUGAUGGCUGGAGUAGACCAUAGAGGUAGCUGCAACUCUAGUUAUUAAUGGACUAUGCUUGCAGAAUCUUCUGAAUAUAUGAGAGACCUUCUAAUUUUGGCGUUCUUAAAACUUAAAAGUAUGUCCUUUACUUUUGUCGUUACUUUUACUUAGUUUCUUUCUUUCUUUUUUCUUCUCUUUUUUUGGGGGUCUAUCUUGGGAAAACUUACUUUACAGUUAACUGUAAAUUCAAGGUUUGCUGAACAAAGUUCCAUUCAAUGAAAUGUAGUUUAUGUAUUGGCAUCCAUUUUCUUCCUUUGUAUUUUCUUGUACUAUUAUUGUGCAUAUGCAAGUUUAUUUGUUAGAAGGGUCUUGCUUGUGUGUAUGUGGCUAAGUAGGAAGUUUGAAUGGAGGAUUUACUACUGCUUCAAUAUUAAAUAUGCAAAUUCUUACUCAGCUUUAGCCUCCAAAUUUUACUGUUUGCAAUAUUUCUUUAUUCUAAAUGCAUGACAUUAACUAUACAUUUCAG